AGAUAGACACCAGCCCUAGAUCCCUAAGCUAGAAAUCCGCGCAUACACCAAGACCCCCUCUCCCCUCCCCCUCAAAACUUCAUCUCCUUCGGGAGACCUAGCUAAGAAAAAGAAUUCAUAUACUCAAAAGGAGAUCAGCUGCAUAACCACAAGAAACAAGAAUCGUUUCCCAUCCUUCUUCACUCUUACAAACCAUCUAAGCUCCACCAUCAAAAGUCAGCCAAAACCUCCAUUAAAAACACUAAAUUUCCUCCAUUUUCACCACAAAAAUCCACCCCUAAACCCACCUAAAAACAGCCCCCAAAUCCUCCAUAAAACCAGCUCAAAUCCCACCCCAAAGUGCACCAAAAAAUAGCUGCCGAAGAGCCCAAAAACAGCUGCGAAAAUAGCAACGAAACAGCCUCAAAAACUAGCUUCCCUGCAACGUGAAACAACCAUAAAAUAGCUGUUCGAACUCCAUUAAAACCCAGUGAAAAUGCAUCUCCAAACUGGCCCCCAAAACAGUAAUAAAUGAAGCACCAUUAUCCCUCUGAAAUACAUCCAUAAACGCGGCAAAGGUCCAGUUUUGUCUUCCCAUUCAGUCGAGUUUGAGGUCGCCGUUAUGGCCGUAGCUCGUAGAUUCGUUCGUGGUUCCGACACAGGUUUCCGAUCGUAGCUCUAUCGUUGUUGUGGUAGCUAUUAUUCGAGAUUUCUAGAGGUCUUUUUGAUGAAAUAAAGAAAAUUUAUCGUGCAAAGGUCCAUUCUUAUACUUAUUUUAUCUCCAUUUCCUUUUGCUAGUUUACUGAAUGAUUUUUGUUCAGCUGUUUCUCUUUUGGAUUAGCUUCUAUUUCAUUAUUUAGUCCUAGUUAACUUAGUCUAUUUUAUGCCGUGGGUUGAUUUAUCCGAUUCGUAUUUCAGCUCACCAUUACUGCUUGGUAUUGUUACAUGUUGAGGUUGGUAGUAGUUUUGUUUGUCAUUAUUCAUAUUACUAUUUAUUUCUUAAUUGUUGGGAUGAGAUUUUUAAUGUUAGCUUUGAGUUAAUUGAGAAAGAAGGGUAAAAAAUGCACAAAGUCUAAAACCCGAGUCGUAGAACAAGAAAUGAAGAAGAAUAUUCUUGGCUUUCCUCUUAUUACUUUGAAGAAGAAGUAAUGCCAAACAGAAUUCUUUUAUUUUUUUAUUUUUUAAUGCUAGCUUGGUGGAAGGGUAAUUAAGAGGAAGUGGAGAAAUUGUUCUGGAUAAUGAGAUUUUACAAAAUUUGGGCUUUUUAUAUUAUCUCCAUCCUAAAUUAUCCAAUUGAGCCUCUUUAAAGACCGACCUUUUGAUAAUAGCAAAAUCCAUAAUCUAGCUCAUUGUUUCCACAAUCAAUCCACUUUGUUCUUUUCACAAUAUUUCAUAAACUUUAGACUCUCCCAAGCAAUCUCAAACUCAUGGGAAAUAAAUCAAUUAUGAAAAUCGUAGCUUGCUUUAGGUGCGUUAUAAUUAAAUCAUCAUGACUAUGGGUACAGUUUCCGUGACGUAGUUGUGAUACUUAAUUUCAAAUUAGUUUUUAAAUAUGAACAUCCAUAGUUUGUUUUAGUUGAGUAAAACCUUUUGAAAUAAAUUGAGGCGUGCCAUAUACAAAUGAAUCACUUAAUCUAUGGCCCUCACAUUAGUAUAAAUAGAAAACAUUCUUUGAACAUUCGUAGUUUGCUUUAGGCGCAUUUAUAAUAAAAUCAUCAUAGUUACGGGUAUGGUUCCCGUGACGUAGUUGUGAUACCUAAUUUUCAAAUCCGUGGGUAUAUUUAUGUGACCCGGUCACAACUUCUAAUAACUUUAAUAAAUUAAACAUAUUGUAGAUCGUGGGUAUGGUUCCCUUGACACGAUUCACAAUCUGUAUCAAAUAAACAAGUGUACGACAAUCGUAACUUGUUCCAGAAUAAUUUCAUAAAAUAAUUAAAAAGCGGUCAUAAAGUUACAACUGCACCAUAGGUUUAAAAUGUGUAGUAAAUCAGAUAAUAGGCCAAUUAUUAAUAGUUUAAGCAACCGUGCUAGAACCACGGAAUCCGGGAAUGCCUAACACCUUUCCCGGGUUAACAGAAUUCCUUAUCUAGAAUUUCUAGUUCGCAGACUUUUAAAAUAAAGUCAAUUUUCCUUGAUUUGGGAUUUAAAAAAAUAAACCGGUGACUUGUGACACCAAAAUAUCAUAAGUGGCGACUCUGAAAAAUAAAUAAAAUAAUCCCAUUUUGAUUAAUAUCACUUAAAUUGAAAAAACUCCUUAUCCACUCUUGGGGUGUAAAAAGGAGGUGUGAUAGAGGGUAAAGACGUAACGCCAAACACCUCUCCCAGGCGAAACAGCUCACCCCUUCCUCACGUCAGCAUCACAGCCUCACACGGUAAAGGGGCCUCUACGUUCACAACGAAAGAGGCACCACCGACACUGAAAAAGCUGCUCGAGCUGUGGUUGACAAAAACGCUGACCAACAUUCUUGACAAUCCCGCUCAAAGGCCGAACAGAGAAGAUGCAAGAGUUUGUGUUUCAUCAGCGGCAGACGAGCAACACACCCCUCUCGUAACAGGUAUCACUCACAAUGUUUGUGAUGCAGGUAACGACACCCUCACAGUCAUUCUGAAGAAAAUGGAGGAGAUGGAGAACGAGAAUAAAAUGCUCCGCGACCAAAUGAAAGAGUAUCAAGAAAGGGUAGACAAAAUACCGGGCGCCCCAAAAUUCCUACCAAAAAAAGGGAGACCGGUCGGUUUGUUGAGCAACCGCAUAGCGACGAAGAUGCACCACAUGCCAUACCCAAAACUUUCAAAAUGCCGCCGUACCUGAAAAUAUACGAUGGCACAACGGACCCUGAAGAUCAUGUGACUCAUUACGUCACCGCCGUAAAAGGCAUCAACCUCUCCAAGGAGCAAGUAUCCUCCAUCUUAUUGAAGAAGUUCGGCGAAACCCUCACCGGGGGUGCGUUGACUUAGUAUUCACAGCUGCCCGCACGCUCGAUUAAAACGUUUGAGGAGAUGGCCGACAACUUUGUAACAGCCCAUGCCGGAGCAAAAAAGGUAGAGGCAAGAGUAAAUGACAUAUUUUCCAUAAAACAAUCACCUAGAGAGGGACUUCCUUGCUCGAUUUAACCGAGUAAGGAUGACCUUACCAAAUGUAUCAGAAGGAAUGGCUAUGGCAGCCUUCCAAAACGGGCUGAACAGAAGUGAUUCGAGGGUGACCAGAAAGCUACUAAGACGCCUCAUGAAAUAUCCCCAAACCGCUUGGGAUGAAAUACGCAAUGCUUAUUGCGUCGAAGUUCGAGCUGAUAAAGAUGAUCUAAAUGGACCGACCCAACAGCUAACUUCGGUACAAGCCGAGUCCAUAAAGGUCCGAAGAAACGUCAACAGGAGAGAUCUAGAAGGACCCCGACCUAAUCUAGAAACACAUUAGCCUUAUGUCAGAGGCAUCCUUAUGUCGCCUCUUCGCCACUACGAAGGCCCAUCUAGGCCACGAAUAGGAACUCACCAAAGUGAGAGAGGUAUGCCCCCUUGUUAUCUGCUCACAAUAUUUGUGUUUCCCCCUCAGAAAUAGUCUAGCACUGGAGAAGCUCGGCCCAAAAGUGAAAUAGCCUCAGAAGAUGAGAUCUGACCCGAGUACCAAAAAGUCAAAUGCUCUGCGAAUUCCACCAGGAGCUGGGUCACAAAACCAAAGACUGUAUCUCCCUAAGACAAGAGGUCGUGAACAUGCUUCACCAAGGGCACUUGAAAGAGCUGAUGAGCGACCAAGAAAGAGCCAACUUCGCCUCUGGACGUGAACAGCCCCAGGGACCACCCAAACCACCUUCCUCAGCUUGAACCAUUUAAAUGAUCUUCGGAGGGGGCGACGAUGCAUCAAUCAACAUUGUGAAGUUCACCGCCACCCACAAACUCAAACAGCUGAGCACUCAUGAGCGGUAUGACAAAUUCGAAGAAUGUAUCAUCUUCGAUAAGUCGGAUACCCACGGUUUGGUUUUUCCUCACUAUGACGCCCUUGUCAUUGCAUUACAUAUAUUAGAUACUGAUUUAGAUGAUGGAAGCGGAAAAUGCAUUAUCCACCCUUGAGUUCUCGCACAAAUGAAGCUCGAGGAUAGGAUCGCGCCACACUGCAUCACAUUGACGGGUUUUAACAAUGCAGUUGAGCGAACAUCUGGAGAAAUCACGCUGCCGAUCCUGGUUGGUGGCGUCACUCUGGAGACCACGUUCCAUAUCAUGGACCAGGAUACGACAUAUAACGCCAUCAUAGGUCGACCUUGGAUACACGCCAUAAAAGCCAUCCCCUCUAGCUUAUAUCAAGUUAUCAAAUUUCCCACCCCUUGAGGGGUAUUCAGCAUCCGAGGAGAGCAACGCACUACCCGAAAAUUCUACCGCAUCACCCAAGAUUAAACAUACACCUAACAAUUGAAGGGUAAAGCCGAGAAGGUGUAAGAAUUAACAAGGUCGGGGUCAGGUGGUGAUGAAGGGAAAAACGUUAUUAGGGACCCCAAAAUCAUAGAAGCCACAAGGUCAACCGUAGAGGACCUCGACCUCGUCCAACUCGAUGAUAACAACGACAACAAGAAAGCUUUCAUCGGCCACCAACUCUAAAAACUAGGUAAAUUCCAUCAAUUCUUAAAAAGUAACGUAGACCUAUUUGCUUUUUCCCACGCAGACAUGCCAGGUUUCCCAAAAGAGAUAGAAACGCAUAAAUUGAACAUCGACGUGUUCCACCCUCCGAUGAGACAAAUCAGGCGGAAAUUCAAUGCCUCCAUAAAAGAUGGAGUUCGCGAAGAGGUAGAGAAUUAGUUGGAAAAUGGCUCCAUCAUGGAGUCAAAUAUCCUCAAUGGGUCGCCAAUGUGGUCAUGGUAAAAAAUAAAAACGGGAAGUGGCGGAUGUGCGUGGACUUCACAGACCUAAACAAAACAUGCCGGAAAGAAUCAAUUUCGCUCCCUUAUAUCGAUCCACUCAUUGACGCGACAACCGGGCACGAGCUGCUCAGCUUCCUAGAUGCAUACUCGCGCUAUAACCAAAUCCUCAUGGAAGAGGAAGACCAGGAGAAGACCACCUUCAUCAACCAUCAAGGAACCUACUGCUAUAGAGUGAUGCCUUUCGGACUGAAAAACGCAAGGGCUAUGUAUCAGAGGUUGUAGACAUGUAAUUUUUGACCCUCCCCAAGAUAUUACACAUUUUAGGGUAAAAUAUUUAGUUUAGGUUUAAUAUUGCUAUUCUAAAUAGUUUUGACUCUUUUACUUUAUUUUAUCACAGAAAAUAAAAUUACAAAAAAAUAUUUUCUUUUAUUUAGCUAAUAAAUAUUUUAUCUAGUUACUUUUAAUUUGUCUACCUUACAUAAAAUUUUAAAUAUAAAAAUAGUUCUAGGAAUAUUAUCUUAAUUUUACAAUGAUUUUUUCCUUUUUUUUUUUUAUCUUUUAGUAUGAUAUUUUAAUAGUUAUUUUACUUAAGUAGGAUUAAUUAGUAAAUGGGGUAGUAUUUUUGGUCUUGUUUUAGAAGAAAGAGUAUGAAAUUUGGGGCUAAUUUUGUUUGGUCUUAAUUGAAAAGGCCCAAUUCGGAUAGCCCAAAAUAUUGAACCCAUACCCAUUCCCCAUUUGACCUAACCUAAUUCCUACCCUCUAUAAAAUAAUACUUAAUUCCUAAAUCAAAUAUCUAGACCUAAUGCCUAGGACCUAAGAAGAAGCAUCAGUCGUUCAAAAUCUAGACUAAGCUAAGAACGGAUCCCUUACCUCUGAAGAAAAAAAUGAGCCGCAAUUCCUAAAAAUAAGGAGAAAAUGGCACCCUAAGGUUGGCUUUGGUUUUUGAUCAUUUUACGUCUCUUUAUCUCAAAUCUGAUGGGGAAACGAAUCGAGACCUAAAUUAAACAAAAAAGCGGCGCCGAUUCGAAAAGGAAAUGAAGACCUUGUCUAUGAUCCCACGAACUAGAAGAGAUUUGCAGAGAUAUAAUGAUGGUUGUUGUCAAGUUGUUGAGAUUGCCGUUCACCUAAGCUAGAGAAUUCGUGCUCUUAAAACCGAGUGAACAAUAGCUUCUGAUUUGGGUUUUGAGCUUUCCGAUGUCGAUUUGAGGUUCCGGUUUAUUAAUUUCGGUGUUUCAGUUCAAGGAUUGUUACUUUGUUUAGCCCGAUUGAUUUGCAAUUUUUAGCUUUGUUCAUCAAUAAAAGGUCUAUUUCUCAAUUUUCAUUCUCAUUUCAUUCUGUUAUGAUAGCUUGGUGCGCGUGUUGGUUGAUUUGUGAUUUUACGUUGUUUGAGUCACAUGUCUUAGUUUUCAUUUAAACUGUGUUAAUUAGUUUUAUUUCGAUUGGGAUAUAUGUAGUCUUGGUUCUUGAAUAAAUGCUUUUAAUUGGGUAGAUGGAAAUUUGGAGUUGUUUCUUUCUUGGCAAGGAAUAAGAAUGGGCCAUAGAUUGGUCUUGAACCAUAAGGAAUCUGGCCAAGUAAUAGACCAUGUUAGCUAGCCUAUUUUCUCUCCAAUAAUAUCUUGCACAUAAAUUUGGCCUCGCAACCAUCUCAAAGAUUAGGAAAAUAAUUCAACUGCGCUAGUUUCUUUAGGCGCGAUUAAUAAUAAAUAUCAUAGCUACGAGUAUGGUUCCCGUGACGUAGUUAUGGUACAUAAUUUACAAAUUUGGGGGUACAUUUAUGUGGCCCAGCCACAACUUCUAAUAAUAUUAAUAAAAUUAAAUAUGUUGUAGAUUGUGGGUAGGGUUCCCGUGACACGGUUCACAAUGUAUACAAAAACAAGCAAGUGUACAUCAACCGUGACUUGUUUAAGAAAUAACUCCAUAAAUAAUUAAAAAAGGUUGAAAAGUUAAAAUGCACAAUAAGUUCUAAACAUGUAAUAAAUCAGAUAAUUAGGCCAAUUAUUAAUAGUUAAGCGACAGUGCUAAAACUACGAAACUUGGGAAUGCCUAACACUUUCUCCCGGGUUAAUAGAAUUCCUUACCCAGAUUUUUGUGUUCGCAGACCAUAAAUAAGAGUCAAAACUUCCUCGAUUCAAGAUUUCAAACCGGUGACUUGGGAUACCAUAAAUUAUCCCAAGUGGCGACUCUGAAAUUAAAUAAAUAAUCCCAUUUCGGAUAUUGUCACUUUAAUUGAAAAACUCCCUUAUAUCUCCUUUCGAUUUGGGAUAUUAAAAUAAACCAGUGACUUGGGACACCAUAAAUUAUUCCAAGUGACGACUCUGAAUUUAAAUAAAUAAUCUCAUUUCAAUAUUGUCUUUAAUUGGAAAAACUCCCAUCUAUACCCUUUCGGGGUAGUAAAAAGGAGGUGUGACAGCUCUAGCGACUCUGCUGGGGAUAAGAACCCAGAACGUCUAGUUCUGGGUUCAAGAAUUCAAGCUUAGAAUAACUUUUAUACAUGGCUUUCAUUUAUUAUCUAAUUUACGUAUUUGAGCCUAAUGUGCUAAUUGCCGCUUUUUACCGCUUUGAUAUUCUGUGAACUGUAUAUAAACUGUUACGAAACCCUUCUUCUCUCUGAGUCUUCUAAAUUUUCUGGAAAGUGCACGCUGGCGUGACUUCUUUUCUGUUAGUAUCAUAUCCUUAAUUUAGAACGAGAUUCUGACAAGUUGCAAAGCUGGAUGAUCUUUUGGUUACUGGUACGCUGCCCCAUCCUCGGCUCGAGGUGUUCACUCGGGUAAGCCAGGUCUAGAACAAUACACCCAGGUUUUAAAACCUUGAAUAACAUAGCAUCAUGCCGGAUCCCUAGUAGGAACGCUUGUUUGCAUCAUGUGCAUUUGACUUUGGGGACUCAACACAGGGGUUGAGUCCGUCUAGGACAUGUGUACCGAAAUUAAAAGACCAUCCUGAUGCAUCUUAUGUGAUACUUGCGUAUCUGUUUGUUUCGGCUUGCAUGUUGACUGGCUUCUAAAAUAGGGAAAGAAAAUGAAAAAAAAUCAAAAAAAAAAGAAAAGAAAGAAAAAAGAAAAGAGAAUAAGAGGUAGGUAUUUGAAUUAUCCUGAAACUCUGCCGAAAUUUUGAAAAAAAGAGAACAAGUUAUUUUAAAAUAAGUCAUACUUUCUUGUUGCGUCGAAACUGGCGAACUACGCGGGUCUGAUUCUCACCGGAUGUGAGAUACGUAGACAAACCUCAUCGGUUCCGGCCCACAAUUUUCAAAAAUCAAAAAUAUUUUCCUUUACUUCCUUCUUUAGAAAAGUUUUUCUUUGAGAUCCCAAUUUUAAAAAAAAAUCAAAAAUAUUUUCUUUUAAUUUCUUCUAAAAAAAUCCAAAAAAAUAUUUCCAUUCCUCUUUAGAAGUUUUUCUUUCAAAAAUUGAAAAGAAAAUUCAAGAUUCAAAUAUAUUUUCUUUAGAAGUCUUUCUUUCACAAUUUUAACAUAAAAGUCCAAAAAUCCAAAGAUAUUUUCUUUCUUUUUUAGAAGUUUUUCUUUCAAAAUUUCAAAAAAAAAAUUGAAAUCAAAAAAAUAUUUUCUUUCCUCUUUAUAAUUCUUUCUUUCGAAAAUUAAAAAAAGAAAAAAAAAUUCAAAUUCCAAAAAAAGAGAUUUAGUUUAUUUCUUUUAUUCCUAAUUUUCCCAAACUACGCAAGAUCUGAUUCAUGUUCCCGUAUGAUACGUAGACAACCCAUAUCAGAUUCGAUCACCAUUAAAAAAACGAAAAAUAUGAAAAAAUAAGAAAAAUGAAAAUAUAAUGAUAAUAAUAAGGACUGACUGAGUCCAUUCUAACGUGUCUUUUGUUUUGAAUUGUGAAGAAAGUUUGAAGUGGUCGGUUUGUGGUAAGCUGAUAACACGAAAUCCAAAGGAAAAAAUGACAACUGACAUCGAAGCUGUUACAAGUGCUCAAGAGACUCAGGUCAAAGGGUUCAACAAGAGUCUACUGUGGUUGAGGAAAAUAGAAUAUUGAAACAGCAAAUGACCAAAAUGUGUCAAGCAUGGGUCGAUAGCCAAGGAUAGCCUUGUCAUGAGUCACAAUUUGCUACCCAGUAAGAGCAAUGCCACUCUCCUGAGUACCACUCGUACUUGUUUGAUCUUCAUGCAAACAUUGAGAAACCUGCCCGAAAGAUGGCACAAGAAGAAAUGACCCAAAGAGUAAAAAGCUUAGAAUGACGGUUGAAAAACAUGUAAGGGUUGGCAGGUCAAAAGAGUAUUGCCUUCAAGGAUCUAUGUUUGUUCCCCGAAGUCCACUUGUCGCCUGGUUUCAAGACUCCCAAAUUUGAAAAGUAUGAUGGACAUGGAGACCCCAUAGCCCACCUUAAAAGGUAUUGCAAUCAACUAAGAAGUAUGUGAAGAAAUGAAGAAUUGCUAAUAGCUUAUUUUGGGAAAAGCCUUACGGGUGUAACCUCCGAAUGGUUUAUGGAUCAAGACACAUCUUGCUGGUAUGUUUGGGAUGACAUGGCCCAGGCCUUUGUCAAACAGUUCCAAUAUAACAUCGACAUCGCCCCAGACCGCAAUUACCUUUCAAACUUGAAGAAGAAACCAACUAAAAGUUUCAGGGAAUAUGACAUUAAAUGGGGAGAGCAAGCGGCUAGAGUUAAGCCACCCAUGGAUGUUAUGACCCCAGUUCGCCCUCCAUGAACUCUCGUGAUGGCACCUAGUCUCUACGACUAGGUAAGCCCAACAUUGCGAAAAUUAAACAAAACUUGCGGAAGAAAUAAUUAAAGCCAUAACAGAAUGGAACAGUAUUUAAAAAUGCCGCUCGACAUAUACAAUACGACUUCUCAAAAACUAAUACACUUUCUCAAAACCCGAAAUCUCAUGAAACCACAAGCUUUUGAAAUAUCUACAAGUGUCAAACUCCAGAAUAUCUAACAAUGAAAAGAAAUACAGAAAGUCUAAUACUUAAAAGUGAGGAUGGAAAGGGACUCCUUGGUCUGCGGACGUGGCAGAUAUACCUCGAAAUCUUUGGGACAGUCGCCUCGCCUCAAGGGUGAUAGGACUCAGUCGAAAUACCUGGAUCUGCACAUGAAAAACAUGUGCAGAAAGGGCAUGAGUACACCACAUUGGUACUCAGUAAGUGCCAAGGCCAACCUCGGUCGGAUAGUGACGAGGAAGGUCAGGGCCCUACUGAGGUUAAAUAAAAUAUAAAGUUCGACAGUGUAGAACAACACAAUAUAAAUAAAUACGAUAGUAAAAAUAACACAGGAUAUAAAGGACAACAACAACUAUUACAGAUGCAAAGUAAAUACAAAAGGAAAUACGAUUCAACACCAAAUAAUAAUAAUCAGGAUCUCCCAGGAUACUGUCCUGUAGUCCAACUCAUAGUGCACGGGGAUUUAUCGGAAUUCCGUUCCGUAGUCCCACAUGUAAAUACCUAGUACUGGGGGAAUCUACCGAGUGCAGUUCCGUAGUUCCAUAUAACUGUGCAGGGGGAUCUACCGGAAUCCCAUAUCUGUAGUCCCAAAUAAACAGACAAGGGGGAGCUACCGGAAUCCCACAUCCAUAGUCCCAAAUGUAAACAUACAGCAGCAACAGGAAAUAUCCAGCAAAAAAUGUUAAUUUCAUAUUAAAGCAAACAAGUAAUUUUAGCCUAGCCUGCUGCACGGAAUUUAGGUAAAGCAGUUUGAACAAUUAAAACAAUUGAAUCACUUAGACUUGCUUUCCUAAGCUAACAACAGGCUUUAAGUGCAAGUAAUAUAAACAAGAAAGGAAAGAAACUAGUAAUUACUUAUGAAAAUCGGAUUUUCAAUAAUUAGCACAAGUACGCGCUCGUCACCUCACGUACAAGGCACUUCAACUAACAAUAAUACCAAAUACUAAGGGGAAGUUCCCCCCACAAGGUUAGGCAAGCCACUUACCUCGAAUCGGCUCAAUAAUCAAUCCGAAACCACGUUCUUGCCACGAGUACUCGACUCCAAAUGGCUCAAAUUUAUUCAAUUCCAUUGCAUAAUGUAAAUAACACUUCAAGUAACUGAUUCUACAAAGAAAUUCUAAGCUAAAUGCGAAAUUAGGUAAAAUGGCCAAAACGCCCCUCGGGCCCACGUCUCGGAAUUGGGUAAAAUUUAUAUUUUCAGAAUCCUCAUACUCUCAGGAGUUCAUGCAUACCAAAAUUAUCCAAAUCUAAGGUCAAAUUCCCAAUCAAAAGUCAAAUUUUAGGUCUAAGAACUUUCUUCCAACUUUUCCCAAUUUUCAUCUCUAAUCUGAAAUUAAAUGAUGAAACUAACUAUAUAUUGAUGGAAUAUAACCAGAAAGGGUUAAAUAAUUGUUACCCAAUAAUUUCCUCUUCAAUUUUCUCUCAAAAUCGCCCUCUCCCGAGCUCCAAAGAAUUUCCAACUUUUAAAACUAAACCCUCAAAUUUUCAUAUUUCUGCCCAGCUAUUACCGCUUCUGCGGUCCCGCUUUUGCAGACCAAUGCUCACACCUAUGACUUUUCACUUAAGGCCAACUUCCGCAUCUGCGACUCCCCUUCUGCAGAUGCGGUACCGCUCCUGCAAAAAUUGCACCGCUUCUUCGGUUCCUGCUGAAACUCUCCAAUUCCGCUUCUGCAACCAUAGAGCUGCUUCUGCAGCACUGCACCUGUGGGACCCAAACUGCAGGUGCGGUUAUGACAGAAAACCAGCAGCUGAAGCUACAACUCUAACUUCAAAAUUCUUCCGUCAACCAUCCGAAUUCAUCUUGAGGCCCCCGGGACCUCAACCAAAGGCACUAAAAAGUCACAAACCACUACCCAAACGUGUACCAAUCCUUAAAAUACCUAAAACAAAACCGAAACUUCGAAUUAACCAUGGAUUUAAGCCUAAGAACUCCAAAAAUCACAAAAUACGCUUUCGAUAAAAAAGUCUAUCAAAACUCGUCCAAAUGGCCUAAAAUUUUGCAAACACGUCACAUUCAACCUUACGGAGCAACUCCAACUUCCGGAAUUCCAUUCUGACCCUCAGAUCAAAAUCUCACUAUCAGACCAGAAACUUCAAAAAUUCGACUUUCGGCAUUUCAAGCCUAAAUUAGCUACGAACCUCCAAAACACAAUCCAAUCACGCCCCUAAGCCCGAAAUCACCCAACGGAGCUAACGGAACCAUCGAAUUUCCAUUCCGAGGGCGUGUUCACACUGUUCUAGCUACGGUCAACUUUCCAACACUUAAGUUCUCAUUUAGGGACUAAGUGUCUCACAACUCUCCGAAACUCAAAAUCAAAUGUCCCGGCAAAUCAAAAUAUCAUAAAAUAAACACGGGGAAAGCAAUUAAUAGGGGAUCAGAGCAUUAAUUCUUAAAACGACCAGCUGGAUCGUUACAAUGGAUGACUACGAGUUAAUUGCUGUCUUCCUUCAGGCUCAAGAGCUAUAUUAUUUUCAAAACAUGAUGUCCGCAGUGGGCAAAUCCUUCUCGAAAGCAAUCAAAAUGGGGGAAAUGGUUGAAAAUGGCCUUAAGACGGGCAGAAUUAUAAGUUAUGCAGUUUUCAAAGCCGCAACUCAGGCUAUCCAGAUUGAAUCUGAUAAUUUUGGUAACACGAAUGAGAAGGAUGAAGAAACCAUGAUGACAUCAGGGUCGCAAAGAGGUCCUAAGAGAACAUCUCGAAGGUAUGAGAAGCCUCGUCUGGUUUGCGAUGAUUCCCCUGAGCAGUACUAUCCACCUCAUAACCCACAAUACUCUAUUACUCCAUCUCAAUAUGUUGUCUAGCCGCCAAGACACCCCAGAAGGUGAGCACGAGCAUCACAAAAUCUCCACCAGCCUCUAAAAUUUUCAAGUGCCCUAUAACCCACAUCCAAGCUAGGGGUAUAGAGGGAAAUAAAGGUUGAAAGAUAAUUUUACACCAAUUGGAGAGUCCUAUGCAAGCUUAUUUGAAAAGUUAAAGCAUUAUGACAUGAUUGCACCCAUUCCUCCAAAUCACGUGGACCCACGUGCAAGAAGCUUUGACCCUUCUAAAAGGUGUGAAUACCAUUCCAAUACCCAGGGACACAAUGUUGAAACUUGUCGGGAUUUGAAAAGAGAAAUAGAAAGGAUGAUCCUGGAAAAACUAAUUGUGAUCCAAUACAAUGACACCCAGAAUAUCAUGCAGAAUCCUUUACCUGCACAUGAUGAUGCACACUUUGUAGGGAUGAUGCCUAGUGACAUGGAGUAUGAGAAUCCUCUUGGGAACUUGCCGACUGAAAUUAAAGAACACCAUUGUGAUUCUAAUGAGCAAAUUUGUGGCUAAAUGUCAAGCUUAGCAAUUGAAAAGUCAUCUCCACACUAGGAAAGAAUCUUAGUAGUUUGCUUUGAUGUUUUUUCUAUUAUCUGGAUUAUUUCAGGGUUAUAAUCCAGAUUUUAGUUGUUUUAUUGAGUCAAACCCUUCUAUCCCUCUAUUUUGUUUGUGUGAGUCUUGUUUUCAUGUUUUGUUGCUAUUUUCAUUCGCCAAGUUGUUUUAGGGCUAUAACUCGGAUUUUAAGUUGUUUGUCUUGUGGUUUACUCAAUGAAAUACAAUUUGUCCUUUUGUGUCAUCCCAUGCUUAGUUCUUUUUCCGCUAGUUUUAGUGAUAUGACAUGCAUACAGAAUUUUGGCCAGAUCUUAGAAACUGAUUUAAUCUGGAAUUGGAUAAUUGAGAAAAAAAUACUUUUGAGGUUGAAUAAAGAGUUGAAAUAUUUUGGAAUUAAGGUCGAGUAAAAUUCACCUUCAAAUCAUUGUGAAGAUCAGGCUUGAGGUUGUAUAAUUAAUUAAAAUUUGUAGGAAAGUUUGACACUAAGGGAUUGAAAGUGUCUUGUGACCACGACAAACCAAGAAUACAUACAUGUUCGUCAAUGCUGUGAUCGCAAAAAGAUACUAUGUUUGGUGUUCUCGAGGUUGGGAGGCCCUUUUUUUGCUACCCAAACAGUUUAUAACCUUUAUCACCCCUUUGAGCCUGCAUUAUUUUCUUUGACCACCCUCUUUUGGAAUCAAGUUUAGAGUCAAACGUCAAAAAAAAAAGUCCAUGUCCCAAGAGUACAAACUGGGGCAACUCUUAGAAAGUUCAGAAAAGAAAAAAGAAAAAGGGUCAAAGGUCAAUUUCCCCAGAAAAUAAAAGCUGGGGCAAUUUGUUUUGAAAAGAAAAAGAAAAAAAGCAAAAGAAGAAAAAAGAAAAAAAAGAGAAAAACAAAAAACAAAAAAGGAAGAUGAAAAAAAUUAGUUAGGUCAGGUAUUUGAACUACGUUCGAUCUGAUUCCUUAAAAAAAGGAUACGUAGGCAGUCUCACGGUUCGGUAUAACCCAAAUAAGAAUUCAAAAAAAGAGGAAAAAGAAAAAAAAGAAAAAGAAAAAUCCAGUAUCUAAAACUGGGGCAUGGGUUUGUUUUAGUUUUUGAACGAGUCAAUUCCAAGAGUUGUAAGUGUACAAAACAUCAUAUUGAGUCUACUUUAAGCCUUCUUGUCGUCCUUUCUUUCCAAACCUAUCCAAAACCCUUCCAAAUAAAGACCUCCCGAGAUGCCUUUAAGAAUGCCAAGAGAAGCAUCCAAUGAGUAACGGUUGUCACACGACAUAGAACACUAUCAGGUUGCUCAUAAAAGAAAAAGAAAAAUGAGAGAGUCUUGCUAGUGAAAACCUUCACGAGCACUAUAAGGCGACGGUAAGUAGAGAUAAAUAAAUGAGAGAGACUUGUAGGUGAAAAUCCCUCGGGGCACCACUAGUCGAAAGUAAGACAUGAAGCUGAUGCAAAGGAUUGACACGAACAAGCCCGACUUCAAAGAUUAUAAGAAUGGUAAAAUGGAAGAUUAUUAGUUUGAUAGAUCAGGUCGUUGAGUCCAAAAUGCAUGUCAUGAUCAUUAAGGCUAGUUAUUGAAAAACAACUCUUCCUUUUGUCCUUCUGAUAAGGGCAUUUCUUGUUAAUAUUUGUUUCUUUGCAUCAUUGUAUCCUUCACUCUAAGUCAGUCCUUGUCAAAACAAGCAAGAAAAUAUUUCAAAAUCUGCUACCAGCUUUUCAGUUGCAUAAAGUAAAUUUGGUCAGCAUACUUAGUUCUACUAUCAACAUGACUUGAGGAUUCAUGCAAAGGCAUCCCCCAAAAGACUCCUGUCAGCCUACUUGGCGCAAGAAAAUAUAACUGGUGGUUCUCUCUGACAGACAAAUUGCUCAAAAAGCAGAAAGUCAUUCAAGAUAUCAGAAAAGGUCACCUAAGAAAAGAUCUCCAAGUUGGGAUAAGGCUGAUUGAGCCACAAAUACAAAUGGUACUGGGUGUGGAACAAUUAGGGUUGAUGAAGAGCAAAAGUUUUUUGAAACCGACUAAAGCUAAUUGAGCAGAAGCCAAGCUGCCCAAGACUCAAGGCCACAAACCGACUACCAUUUUCAAAACCGACAAGUUUUUCUCUGUGUGAAACAGGAACAAAGCAGUGCAAGGAAAGUGGUACAACAAAAAAGAAAGAAAGAAACCAAAAAAAUGAAAAGAAGAGAAGAGCCAACAAAGGGAAGUUUCUCAAAUCUUUGUCUUUUUCUAUCUUGCUCGUGUGCAUAAAAUUUGCCAUUUGCUCUGUAACGACCCGGCCGGUCGUUUCAUGAGUUACUGCUCUGUUUCUCCCAUUUCUACUUCUUAUUGCUUUGUUUAUCGGUAGUAUGGUGAUUGGGUUGGUUGGCUCGGGUUCGGAAAGGUUUUGGUAAGGUUUGAGAUACUUAGUCUCUUUUGAGUAAGCUUAAGUUGAAAAAGUCAAUCGGAUGUUGACUUAUGUGUUAAAGGGAUCAGAUGUGAGUUCCGAUGGUUCGGAUAGCUUCGGGAUGUGAUUUGGGACUUAGGAGCAUGAUCGUAUUGUGUUUGGAGGUUCGGAGUAGUUUUAGGCUUGAAUUGGCGAAAUUGGAAUUUUGACGUUUUUCGGUUGAUUGGUGAGAUUUUGAUAGAGGGGUCAGAAUGAAAUUCUAGAGGUUGCAGUAGACCCGUUGUGUUAUUUGGGAUGUGUGUAGAAAAUUUCAAGUCAUUCGAACGUGGUUUGAUAGACUUUUUGAUCAAAAACAGAAUUUAGAGAUUUUGGAAUUCUUAGGCUUAAAUCCGAUGCAAAUUUGGUGUUUUGAUGUUGGUUUGAGCAUUCCGAAGGUUGGAAUAAGUUUGAAUAAUGUUAUGGGAUAGGUUGGCAUAUUUGGUUGAGGUCCCUAGGGCCUCGGGUGAGUUUCGAGAGGUCAAAUGGAUCAUUUCAUGUUGAGAAAAGUUGCAUACAUUCUGCUGUUGAUGUUGCAGAGAGUUGGCCUUCGCGUUCGCGAGUGGGCCCUCGCAUUUGCGAAGGGUUAGCAUGUGAGGCUGAAGGUUUGGUCUUCACGUUCGCGAGGGAGGUCCCUCAUUUGCGAAGGGCUAGGGUAAUUGAGCUACGCGUUCACGAUGGGUUGUGGAGCUGAGCCUUCGCGUUCGCGAGAGGGGAGCCGCAUUCGUGAAGAAGGAAAAUGUGGUCAACGUCAGGUUGUGCUUCGUGAUUGCGAUGCUUUGACCGCGUUUGCGAAGAAUGAUUGAAAUGUCUAGGCAAAAGGUUUAUAAGAUCCAUUUCCGCGAUUUUGAACCUAAGUCCCUCCAUUUUUGGGCGAUUUUGAAGUUUUUUGAAGGAGAUUGAAGAGGGAAUCAAGGGGGAACACUUGGAGGUAAAAUUUAUUGACUUAAUACUCAAUCCUAAUGUGUUUUCUGCCUAAUUAUUCAUAGAAAUUGUAGAAAUUAUGCCUAAAUAUUGAAGAACUAGAGCUUGUAAUUGGAGACCUAGAAUUUGGGAUUUGAGGGGUUGUUUGUGGUUGGAUUUCGGUGCUUUUGAUAUGAAUGAACUUGAGGAGUGAUAAGGAUUCUAUUGAUUUAAUUUUUAUCGGAUUUCGAUAUGUGGGCCCGGAGGUCAGAUUUGGCCAAUUUCGGGAUUUGUGUUGUAAUUUGAUUUCUUUCGAGUGGGCUUUGUUCCCUUAGCAUAUUUUGAUGGUUUUGCACUGAUUUUGGUUAGAUUUGGAGAAUCUGGAGGACGAUUCGAGAGGCAAAGGCGUCGUGUGCUAGAGUUUAGACUGGAUAGAGGUGAGUAAUAAUUGUAAAUGUUGUUCUUAGGGUAUGAAACCCUAGAUUUCACAUCAUUGUGCUAUAUUGAGGUGACGCACAUGCUAGAUGACGAGCGUGGGGUCGUGCACCAUUGAGGAUUUUGACUUGGUCCAUCCCGAAUGAUUGGUUUACCGCGUAUUUGAUUGAAAACUAUUUGCUAUCAUCAUGUUUUUGGCCCAAAUGCCAUAUUUGGGCCUCGUGCCAACUGUUUUGGACCCUUAGGGGAUUUUUACUACUAUUUUCUCACUGUUUUAACUUUAUACUUGUAUCAGUCAUGCCAUAUUCUACUGUUUUCAUAACUCAUCUAUGUUUACUCUGUUUAACACUUUAAAUGAUAUUUUGGGCUGAGCAUCAUAUUUUACUAUACCUGAGUGGCUUUUAGAGAUUUUUGACUGAGUAGGGCCGUGGGCCUGUGUUGUGAGGUUAUUAUGGGAUCGGGAUGCAUGCCGCAGUAGUGUUGUACUGACUUAUGAUUAUAAGGCUGAGGGCCUGGGUUGUUAUGCUACGGAGUGGCUUGAUAUGAGGUCGAGAGCCUAUUGAUUAUGCCACGAGAUGGAUUGAUAUUGCGCUUGGGCCGUAAGGGGACCCUCCCGGAGUCUGUACACCCCAGUGAGCGAGGGUACCCAGUGUGAUAUGUGAUAUAGUCCGAGGAGCUUGUGUUGUUCCAUGUUAUUGCCCGAGGGGCUGAUUCUGCUAAUAUUGUGCCCGAGGAGCUGAUUUUAUGUGUUUAUCUUUUCUCGUUGGUUUUCAUUUACUUGUUUAACUGUUAAAAAUGUGUUUUAAAUGAGCUUAUAUUGAACUAGGGUGUUUUUAUAAGAUUUCACUGUUUAUUUGUUGUGUAUUGGUUUUACAUCGCCUCUUUUUAGCAUGUUGUUAUGUUUUACAUGUUUUCUUAUCGCUCAGUCUUCAUUUAUUUUUAUUACUCACUGAGUUGGAGUAAUCACUUUACUCCCUGCAUUUUGUGUGUAGAUUCAGGAGCUUCAGGUCUCUCUAGUGAGGGUUGAUUGCUCCCAGCAGGCUAUUUGGAGUCAACUAGGUAGCUGCUCGGCUUUCGCAGCCCAGUGU
rnacentral:lncRNA from 1 species